CCUACGGGUGGCAGCAGUGGGGAAUAUUGGGCAAUGGGCGCAAGCCUGACCCAGCAACGCCGCGUGAAGGAAGAAGGCUUUCGGGUUGUAACCUUCUUUUCUCAGGGACGAAGCAAGUGACGGUACCUGAGGAAUAAGCCACGGCUAACUACGUGCCAGCAGCCGCGGGAAUACGUAGGUGGCAAGCCUUAUCCGGAUUUACUGGGUGUAAAGGGCGGGUAGGCGGGAAAGCAAGUCGGAUGUGAAAACCAUGGGCGCAACCUGUGGCCUGCAUUUGAAACGGUUUGUCUUGAGUACUGGAGAGGCAGACGGAAUUCCUAGUGGAGCGGUGAAAUGCGUAGAUAUUAGGAGGAACACCAGUGGCGAAGGCGGUCUGCUGGACAGCAACUGACGCUGAGGCGCGAAAGCGUGGGGAGCAAACAGGAUUAGAUACCCUUGUAGUC
rnacentral:rRNA from 1 species